AGGCCCUGGGAGGCCUCGGCAUAAACAGGAUGUAAAUAUUUGCGGGUGGUGGUGGAGAGGUGGUAUUUGAGCAGGGACUGUCCGAAGUGGGGACCUCCAGGACAAUGCUUGCUUGGACCCGCCCACCUCCAUCUCGUCGAUAGGUGGGGGGUGGGAGGCUUGUGCAGCCUGUACCCCUGAUUGGAGACCUGGUUUGGAGACUGGUUCCCUCCACGUCUGUGCACCCAGGAUGCUGCCUAGAGCAUUAUAAGUAGCAGUCUUGGUGGACUUUCACAGGGUAAAAAGGAUUUUCAAAGUUACACCCUGCACCCAACAGCUUCAGUACAUGGUUGGAUACCUUCUGGACAGACUACGCACACACACCAGAUUGGAAACCAAAGAAACACAGCCACUCCCCGCUCUCAUAUGCUGUUGAUGGAGCAAUAACUGGAUGCGGCUGGAAGUGGCUCGGUGCUCUGGUCCCCUGUCCCUCAGCAGACUUGGAACUGGCCACGUGGAGGCCAGGACAGACAUGCUGACUGAGAACAGGAAGCAGAAAGCGCUUGGAUGAAUAAACAAACAGAACAAA